UUGGUAGAGACAGGGUUUCGCCAUGUUGCCCAGACUGGUCUUGAACUCCUAAGCUCAGGUGAUCCACCCUCCUUGGCCUCCCAAAGUGCUGGGAGUACAGGUAUGAGCCACCAUGGCCAGCCUCUGCUCUUUUUAACUGUCCCUUGUAGCUGUAACUUCUCAUCCAUCUGUCCUCCUCUGAUAUUUACACAAAUCUCAAUAUCCAGAGUUCAUUUGCUUAUUCAUUCAUAGAUGCUUAUGGAGGGCCUACUCUGUGCCAGGUAGUGUUAAGUGCUGGAGCCGUAACACUAAGCAGUCUUUUUUUUUUGAGACAGAGUCUUGCUCUGUCACCCAGGCUGGAGUGCAAUGGGGCCACCUCAACUCACUGCAAUCUCCGCCUCCCAGGUUCAAGCAGUUCUCUUGCCUCAGCUUCCCAUGUAGCUGGGACUACAGGUGCCGGCCACCUUGCACAGCUAAUUUUUGUAUUUUUAGUAGAGACGGGGUUUCACCAUGUUGGUCAGGCUGGUCUUGAACUCCCGACCUUAGGUGAUCUGCCCGCCUCAGCCUCCCAAAGUGCUGGGAUUACAGGCGUGAGCCACCGCGACCGGCUAACACUAAGCAGUCUUCUAAGGAGACCAUUCAUUAUGCAGUGCUACUUCCACCAGUCAGCUCUCUAGGGUUCCAUGCAGAAGAGAAAUCAGAAUUUCUUUACAAUUCAAGAUGCUAAGAGGCCAUUUUUUUGGUCAUCAAGUCCAGCUGUCCUUUUCAGAUGAAGAAAAUGAAGCUCAUCAUAAUAAAGAAUUGUCCAGGGUUCCCAGUUAGUGAUAGGGCUGAGAAGACCUUUGAGCUCCUGUUCCCAGUCUAAUAUUCUUUCUACUCCAAUACUGAGAUGCGUAUUGGUUUCCGCUUGGGACACAGAAUGUCUUUCAGUAUGACCUUUAAGGAUUCGUAGCUUCCAGCCCUUUGAGCUCCUGGGUGUAUUGGCGACGACUCACUGUCCUUGUGUUUGUAGUUUAAUGCCCUGAAGAUUCCCGUGCCAGAGGAUAAAUAUACUGCCCAGGUGGAUGCCGAAGAAAAAGAAGAUGUAAGUAGUUGAGGCUCUUGCUUAUUCUAAAAUUCUCUUGAUCUUGACAGCUCUCUAUUAUAGCUAAGUUAAGGUAGAGUGAAUUAAAUGGAAAAGAGUUAACAGCCAUAUAAAGGAAUGUCUUGUCAAUAAAUGCAACAAUAUGGACGAAUUUCAAAAUAAUUAUGCUGAGUGAAAGAAGCCAACUAGAAGCGUAUAGCAUAUGAUUCUAUCUUUGUAAGACUCUAGAAAAUGUAGUUUGUCUACAGUGGCUGCCUGGGGAUGGUUGAGAGGGGACUGCUAGUUUCACAGGUGGAUACAAAUAUCAAAACUUAUCAAAUAGUGUUCUUUAAAUAUGUGCAUUUUAUCAUAUUUCAGAUAUACCUCAACAAAGCUAUUAAAAACAAGGAGUUGGAAUUAGAAAAAUUAUCUAAGUAGUAUUCAAAUACCUAAUUAUUUGCUUGAAAGCACUGUAGGCCAAACUUUGGAACUCAGUGGCUCCACCAAAGAGAAGUCUGGCUAGGUGCUCAGGUGGCGUGUCCUGACCAUUCAGUGGCUGAGCCCUGUGAAAACAGGCAUUCUGUAGGUCUUCGGAUGAGGAACUCGCAGAAGCAGCUGGGUGCUGCCAUCCUAAGCUGGUUUUCCAUAUGGGCUUCUCUGUGAGUGUUAGGAAAAGCUGUGGUUUGCCUCUCAGAGUGAGCGCCUCCAAGUGGUCAGGGUAACCACGGUUUCUCUAUAGAGCAAUAGGACAGCCAGAGUGGGCUGGGACGACUCCUACCUUAGCAGCUGCUGGGGUAGAAUGCAGCCUGGUUUCAGAACUGAAUUUCUCUUUCUUCUUAAAGGUGAAAUCUUGUGCUGAGUGGGUGUCUCUCUCAAAGGCCAGGAUUGUAGAAUAUGAGAAAGAGAUGGAGAAGAUGAAGAACUUAAUUCCAUUUGAUCAGAUGACCAUUGAGGACUUGAAUGAAGCUUUCCCAGAAACCAAAUUAGACAAGAAAAAGUAUCCCUAUUGGCCUCACCAACCAAUUGAGAAUUUAUAAAAAUUGAGUCCAGGAGGAAGCUCUGGCCCUUGUAUUACACAUUCUGGACAUUAAAAAUAAUAAUUAUACA
rnacentral:sRNA from 1 species